UUUUUACAACGGAGAGUUUGAUCCUGGCUCAGGAUGAACGCUAGCGGUAGGCCUAACACAUGCAAGUCGAACGGUAACAGGGAUUGCUUGCAAUCCGCUGACGAGUGGCGAACGGGUGCGUAACACGUAUGCAACUUACCCUAUACUGGGGGAUAGCCCAGAGAAAUUUGGAUUAAUACCCCAUAACAUCAUGGAUUCGCAUGUUUCUAUGAUUAAAGUUUUUCGGUAUAGGAUAGGCAUGCGGCCCAUUAGUUAGUUGGUGAGGUAACGGCUCACCAAGACAACGAUGGGUAGGGGGUCUGAGAGGAUGAUCCCCCACACUGGUACUGAGACACGGACCAGACUCCUACGGGAGG
rnacentral:rRNA from 1 species